UACAGAGGGGGCAAGCGUUGUUCGGAAUUACUGGGCGUAAAGGGCGCGUAGGCGGCCUGUUAAGUCGAACGUGAAAUCCCCGGGCUCAACCCGGGAACUGCGUCCGAUACUGGCAGGCUUGAAUCCGGGAGAGGGAUGCGGAAUUCCAGGUGUAGCGGUGAAAUGCGUAGAUAUCUGGAGGAACACCGGUGGCGAAGGCGGCAUCCUGGACCGGCAUUGACGCUGAGGCGCGAAAGCCAGGGGAGCAAACGGA
rnacentral:rRNA from 1 species